rfam:Oryza sativa Japonica Group DNA, chromosome 7, cultivar: Nipponbare, complete sequence.
AAAAAGGCAAACCCUGAGUUUGCGUGUCCAACUUUGACUGUCCGUCUUAUAUGAAAUUUUUUUAUAAUUCGUAUUUUUAUUGUUGUUAGAUGAUAAAACAUGAUUAAUAUUUUAUGCGUGACUUGUUUUUUUAUUUUUUUUAUAAUUUUUUUAAAUAAGACGGACGGUUAAAUGUUGGGCACGGAAACC